GAUGAUUAAUUAAAAAGUUUCAUGUUGAAAGGCGUAUAAAUUAAACAAUAACCUAAACUGAACAGUUUUUAUGUUAAUUCACACAUCAAAGCAAAAAAAAGAUUUUUUCGUGGGUAGGGCCAGUCUGACUGGGAUAAUUGUCAUCUUUCGUACGUGUGGACGAAUUUGCUGUACGGCGCGUUGAUCUCAUAUACACAUCCAAUACAAGGCUCAGUUUUUCAUUCUGCGUCGUUUUUCGAUAUUUUGUAACGGUUUGGUCAAGGAUGUUUGCAACAGACAAUUACUUAAUCUCGCGCAUGUUCUUAGAUUGCGUGGUUACUGGCUGCACAGGAAAAGGACUGUUACCUAAAUAUCGUUAACAAAAAUAUAUACAGGUCUUCCUAUAUUGAUUAAAUACACGACUGCCAUUUCAUUAUUUCUAUUAAACAGCAUGAAAAGGUAAUUUCAAAACUCUUGAAAAA